rnacentral:snoRNA from 1 species
CCCGCCACUAUACCUGUCCCAGUGUCAGUGGCUGGUAUAUUCCAGUGGUGAGCUAAGAGGAAUUGCCAGCCCAGGAAGCAGCCCUCUUCUGCUGUGAAGAGACCUGUGCCGAAAGGCUGGGAACAAGU